rnacentral:rRNA from 1 species
AAUGAACGUUGGCGGCGUGGAUUAGGCAUGCAAGUCGAGCGAGAACUAGUAGCAAUACUGGUGAAAGCGGCGAAAGGGAGAGUAAUACGUAGGUACCUGCCCUCGGGUCUGGGAUAGCUGCGGGAAACUGCAAUUAAUACCGGAUGACGUCUCUGGACCAAAGGUGUGAUUCCGCCAGGGGAUGGGCCUGCGUCCUAUUAGCUAGUUGGCGGGGUAAUAGCCCACCAAGGCAAAGAUGGGUACGGGGUGUGAGAGCAUGCCCCCGCUCACUGGGACUGAGACAAUGCCCAGACACCUACGGGUGGCUGCAGUCGAGGAUCUUCCGCAAUGGGCGCAAGCCUGACGGAGCGACGCCGCGUGCGGGAUGAAGGCCUUCGGGUUGUAAACCGCUGUCAGUGGGGAGCAAAUGCAUCAGGGUUCUCCCUGGUGUUUGAGCGAUCCGCAGAGGAAGCACAGGCUAAUUUCGUGCCAGCCGCCGCAGUAAUAC